rnacentral:lncRNA from 1 species
UACUCCGUCCGCGGCCUCUCAGCUCUAGGGCCCUCUGCACACUGGCCCCCCCAGUGUCACGGGCAUCCAGACGGGAUCCAGUGCAUCCUCUUUUAGAAGAAAGGCCUGUCUCCAGAUCCCCGAGUCCCUCUAGCAUCUCCCAGAAGGUGUCAGACGCAGCAGUGUCCAGGGAGCGGCAGCAGGUCCUUAUCAUGGUCCAAGGGUCCCUCCCAGCCUCCAAGUCUCACCCCAUACAUGAAAAAAGGUGGCCCCGGUUUCCCGCCACCUCCUCCACAGCACCAUCUCUUUGAAGGUUUCCUCCUGUUUUUGUUUUUUUUGUUGUUGCUGUUGAGACAGCGUCUCACUCUGCUGCCCAGGCUG